CCUACGGGUGGCAGCAGUGAGGAAUAUUGGUCAAUGGACGAGAGUCUGAACCAGCCAAGUAGCGUGAAGGAGGACUGCCCUAUGGGUUGUAAACUUCUUUUAUAAAGGAAUAAAACGAGGCACGUGUGCCUUUUUGCAUGUACUUUAUGAAUAAGGAUCGGCUAACUCCGUGCCCGCAGCCGCGGUAAUACGGAGGAUCCGAGCGUUAUCCGGAUUUAUUGGGUUUAAAGGGAGCGUAGAUGGGUCGUUAAGUCAGUUGGGAAAGUUUGCGGCUCAAACGUAGAAUUGCAAUUGAUACUGGCAGUCUUGAGUACAAUUGAGGUAGGCGGAAUUCGUGGUGUAGCGGUGAAAUGCUUAGAUAUCACGAAGAACCCCGAUUGCGAAGGCAGCUUACUAAACUGUGACUGACAUUGAUGCUCGAAAGUGUGGGUAUCAAACAGGAUUAGAUACCCUGGUAGUC
rnacentral:rRNA from 1 species